rnacentral:lncRNA from 1 species
CCCUGAUCGGGGUCUCCACCCAGUACGCUGCGCGUACUGGAAGUUACGCCCAGCGUAACCCCCAGAAUCAGCCACUCUCCAUUUCUGGUCUUAAUCGGUUAAGCCAUUACUUCCACUUCUAGAUCCGACUCUUCUAGUGUGUCUAAACCCAUAAAGUCGAGACCUUUAAGCCUUGGCACGGCUGUAAAGGCUCCAACAUCACAUAACAACCCUUUAUUCAAACUCAAGGACCUAGAUCUCAUGCAUGGUGCAAACCCCACGUCCAAGAUGCCAUUUUUAUGAGUCUACAACCCCAAUAGAUCAGAAAUAUGAAGUAUCUAAGCUUAUGGAGGCCAUUUGCACAAAAGUCUCCACCUUUGGGACUUAAACCCUAGAAAAUGACCUUUUAAGCAUACAACAUGAACCAAGUGACAAGAUCCGAACUUUAUACCUGGAAAUGAAGCUUUAGCCCUUGCAAAGUUCAGAUCUACACUUGAGCACCACUUCUAGCCUCUCCAACAAGCUCUUCUUCUUCUAUGCAACCUUGAAAUGGCACCACCAAGCUUAGAAUACACACACAAUGGCCUAAGAACGAGGGUACACUCUUUUUAGGGUUUCACUCUGAGGGAUGGUGGCUGAGAAGACCAGCCACAUGAUCCUUUUAUAGCCCCAUCAAAGGAAUUUAGGGUUUGGGUCUGAAUAAGUUACGCCGGGCGUAACCUUGGGUACGCCCCGCGUACCUGAGGGGAAACGCGUCCAAAUCAGGCGCGCGAGUACAUGUGGCGUACACCUUGUACGCCCAACGUACUCACCUACCAUGAAAACCCUAAAUAAUCAACUUAACCAAGAUGUAAGGCCAAAAGAAGAAUACCUGGAUUUCGGGCUGUUACAAUUCUCCCCCACUAGAAUCAGACUUCGCCCCCGAAGUCUCAUACUGAAAACAACUCUGGAUACUGAUCCCGCAUCUCAGACUCGGUCUUCCAUGUCAACUCGGACCCCUUCCGAUGUUGCCACUGCACUUAUACCAGGGGUAUUUCCUUGUUCCUCAAGACCUUAACUUUCCGAUCCCUGAUCGCUACUGGUCUCUCCAUAUAGUUCAGGCCUGCAUCCAACUGAAUAUCAUCCAAUGACACCACUGCCGACUCGUUGGCAAUACAUUUCCUCAACUGCGAGACAUGAAAGGUAUCAUGAAUCUACCCCAACUCAGCAGGUAGCUCCAACCGGUAGGCUACCCGGCCCACCGUAGCAAUUACCCUGAAGGGUCCAAUAUACCGGGGUCCCAACUUGCCCCUUUUCGUGAAUCGUAUCACCCCUUUCCAAGGAGAGACCUUUAGGAGCACAAGGUCGCCAACCUGAAACUCGAGCUCGGACCUCCGCCUGUCUGCAUAACUCUUCUGGCGACUCUGCGUAGUCAACAACCUCUGCCUGACCUGCUGAAUCUGCUUGGUCGUCUGGAGUACAAUCUCCGUGCUACCCAUCACCCUCUGCCCCACUUCUCCUCAACAGAUGGGGGUGCGACACCUCCGACCAUACAACAACUCAAAGGGUGGCAUACCGAUGCUCGAAUGAUGGCUGUUGUUAUACGAAAACUCUGCUAAAGGCAGAUAGGUGUCCCAGCUCCCUCCAUAAUCCAAAACACAUGCACGGAGCAUAUCCUUAAGCGUCUGAAUCAUCCGCUCGCUCUGUCCGUCUGUCUGCGGGUGGUAUGCGGUACUGAAAUGCAGUCUCGUACCCAACUCCUCAUGAAACUUUUUCUAAAACCUGGAAGUAAAACGCACAUCACGAUCUGAAACAAUCGACAUCGGAACCCCAUGCCGCGAUACCACCUCCCUCACAUAUAAUUCCGCCAACUUCUCCGCUGAAGAACUCUCACUGAUGGCAAGGAANUCUUCGUCAAUCUAUCCACGAUCACCCAAAUCGCGUCGACUCCCCUCGCAGUCCGCGGCAAUUUGGUGAUAAAAUCCAUGGUAAUCUGUUCCCACUUCCAUUCGGGAAUCUCUAGCGGCUGCAACUUACCGUGCGGACGCUGGUGCUCGGCCUUAACCUGCCGACAAGUCAGGCAUCUCUCAACAAACCAUGCAACAUCCCUUUUCAUACGGGGCCACCAAUACUCCUUCCUUAGGUCCAAAUACAUUUUCGUAGCCCCGGGAUGAAUCGAGAAUUUCGAUCGAUGCGCUCCCUCCAUCAAAAUAGUAUGCGUACUGCCCAUAAACGGUACCCAAAUCCGACCCUGAAAAGUCAUAAGCCCUCGACCAUCUGUAACGAAUCCUGAUACCUGACCCACAACCCGCUCCCUCUUCUGGUUUUCUGGUUUUACAGCCUCAACCUGAGCUCCUCGAAUGGUAUCUAAAAUCGUGGUCAUCACCGUCAACCUCAUACAAAUAUCUCGGAUCGGGGCGCUUUCCGCCCUACGGCUCAACGCGUCGGCCACCACAUUAGCCUUACCCGGGUGGUACAGGAUCUCACAAUCGUAAUCCUUCACCACAUCCAACCAUCUCCUAUGUCGCAUAUUCAGGUUUGGCUGAUCCAUCAAGUACUUCAGACUCUUGUGGUCCGUGUAGAUGGUACACCGAACCCCAUAAAGAUAAUGCCGCCAGAUCUUGAGGGCAAACACCACAGCCCCCAAUUCCAGGUCGUGGGUGGGAUAUCUCGACUCAUGAGGCUUCAACUGCCUCGAAGCAUACGCUAUCACAUGCCCCCUCUGCAUAAGCACCGCCCCUAAACCCGAUAUAGAUGCAUCACAGUACACCACAAAAUCCUCCAUCCCUUCCGGGAGUGCAAGCACCGGGGCCUCGCACAAUUUCUGACGAAGGGUCUCGAAUGAGGACUGCUGCUCCGGUCCCCACGAAAAUGCAACACCCUUUAGGGUCAUCCUAGUAAGUGGCACGACAAUCUUGGAGAAAUCCUUGAUAAACCUGCGGUAAUAUCCAGCCAAACCCAGAAAGCUCCUGAUCUCUGUGGGCGAUCUCGGCACUUCCCAUCUCAUCACCGCCUUUAUCUUGGCCGGAUCGACCAAAAUCCCUUUCUGGUUAACGAGGUGCCCUAAGAACUGGACCUCUCGUAACCAGAAAUCACACUUGGAGAAUUUGGCAUACAGCCUCUCCGAUCUCAGAACUCCAAGAAUCUCCCUCAAAUGCUCCUCGUGCUGCUCCCUAGACCUCGAAUAUACCAGAAUAUCAUCAAUGAAUACGAUCACCGACCGAUCUAGCAUCGGCCUGCACACCCUGUUCAUGAGAUCCAUGAACGCAGCUGGGGCAUUGGUGAGCCCAAAAGGCAUCACCACAAACUCAUAAUGCCCAUAACGAGUUCUGAAAGCAGUCUUCUGAAUAUCUUCAUCCCGAACCCUCAUCUGAUGAUAACCCGACCUCAAGUCUAUCUUGGAGAACCAAGAUGCCCCCUGCAACUGAUCAAACAGAUCGUCGAUCCUAGGUAACGGAUACCGGUUCUUAACCGUCAACUUGUUCAACUCCCGGUAAUCGAUACACAUCCGGUGUGAACCAUCCUUUUUCUUGACGAACAAAAUCGGCGCUCCCCAAGGUGAACUACUCGGUCGAAUAAACCCCUUCCCCAACAGCUCCUGAAGCUGCGAGGAUAACUCCUGCAUUUCCGGUGGAGCGAGACGAUAAGGCGCCUUGGCGAUGGGCGCCGCUCCCGGAACCAAAUCGAUACGGAACUCCACUUGCCUUUCCGGAGGCACACCUGGUAACUCUUCGGGGAACACAUCCGAAAACUCGCAUACAACAGGAACGUCAUCCACCGAUUUGGGCCUUCCCGCGGCCACUCGAGUAUCCGUCACGUAGGCUAUGAAUCCAUUGCAGCCCUGCUGCAAACUCUGCCUCGCCCUGGCAGCCGAACAAAACGCCGACCCACACCGGGUCCCCUCGCCAUACACCGUAAGCACUCCCCCACUAGGGUCUCGAAUCGUCACCAACUGUCUCUCGCAGUCAAUGACUGCCCCAAACUUACUCAACCAGUCCAUGCCCACGAUAACGCAGACAUCCCCCAUCGCUAUAGGAACCAAGUCUAUAGGGAAUUUGACACCAAAAAUCUCGAGCACACAUCCUCGAAUCACGUCUGCGGCAUAUAUCACUUUCUCAUCAGCUAUGGAAACCCUCAGAGGUCGACUCAUCACUUCUCGAUCAAUACCGAGGUGCUGACUAAAAGCCAGAGAUACGAAAGACCGACUCGCACCCGAGUCAAAUAAUACUAAAGCAGGUACAGAGUUCACAAGAAAAGUACCUACGCAUAUCAUGAAAUAAGCACAACAUCUCAUAAAAGAACAAUAAAUACAUGAAAGAAUACAUACCAGCCACAACAUCAGGCGCCGCGCGGACCUCCUCCGCAGUCAACUGGAAAGCUCUCCCACGAGCCCUCGGGGCCUCGGCCUUCACUGGUCGAGUCUCAGUAGCCCUGGCAGCAGGUGCAGAUCCNNNNNNNNNNNNNNNNNNNNNNNNNNNNNNNNNNNNNNNNNNNNNNNNNNNNNNNNNNNNNNNNNNNNNNNNNNNNNNNNNNNNNNNNNNNNNNNNNNNNNNNNNNNNNNNNNNNNNNNNNNNNNNNNNNUGACCCUUGCCGCACUUUCCGCAAGUGCGGCCCUUCGGACCUCCCGUCCUCGAAUCGGCGGACUUAGUCCGCUUGGCUGCCGGCUGAGACUGAGCCGGCCGCCGAUCCACCCGUUGAGACUCGGCCUCCUCCCUGGCCUGGGUCUCCAACUCGAUCUCGCGCUUCCUGGCAUUCGCCUGAAGCUCAGCAAAGGUAUGAUAUGUUGAGUUCGACACGAACUCCCGGAUAUCCCUCCUCAACACACCCAAAUACCGGCUCAUCCGAGCCUGCUCUGUGGACACCUGCUCGGGGCAGAACAUCGCCCUCUCAUGAAACUUCCGCGUGAUCACCGUAACCGAAUCAGUACCCUGCUUGAGGGUCAAGAACUCCUGAACCAACCGUUCCCUCUCCACCGGGGGAACGUACUCGUCUCUGAACAUAGAGGUAAACCUCUCCCACGUCACAGCUGAAAUCUCUGCCAAAGUGAAGUUCGCCGUCACGAACUUCCACCAAUCCUUCGCUCCCAGACGGAGCUGGUUCAAGGCGAACCGUACUCUCAGAUGCUCCGGACAUGAACAAGUGUAGAAGCAUCCCUCGAUAUCAGCAAUCCAUCUCAUCGCAGCGAUCGGAUCCUGCGUCCCGUCAAACUCAGGUGGCUUCGUGUUGCUGAACUCCCGAAACAGCAACGAGUCACCUCCCUGUGGUCUGGCAGCGGCCACAGCUGCGGUAGCUGCAGCGGCUGCAGCCUCAGUCAAUGCGGCGUACCGCUCAUCAAAUGUCUCCAUCAAAGUGGUCUUAAUAGACCCAAACAUCUCCGGAAUCUCAGCCCGGAUCGCUGCAGCCACCUCCUCAUGAAUCAUCUGACGAAUCUCCUCGUCACUCACACUGCUCGUACUCGGUCUGUGGCGUGGUCCAACCAUGAUGCCUCUGAAAUACAACAUAGAAAUAUCAGAGACUCUAUCGAGCAUAAUCGCACUCGAUAACGCAACCCUACUCAGUCUCCAAUACCCAGGGAUUCUUACUUGGGUUGCCCACUGACCCGGUGUCUUUGGUAGUACGGGCCCAAUACUACCGACUACACCGCAUCAACAUUCACCCCAAGUCCUCCUCCUCAAACCCCAGAUCCUGAGUACUCUAUUCUUGCCAUGCACUAGCUACCCAUUCGCUCUCAAAGCACCUCAUAGCAACAGAUUUCCCUAGACUAAGGCAUCACAAAUCAGGCCACUCUAGUCCUAUCAUGAAUACCUAGUCUUCUAGCAUGCAUAACAAUUCAUAUCAUAUCUCUUAACACAACAUUGUAAGGGUAUUUUGGGGAUCUUUACCGUUCGGGCGCUGGCUGAUCGUACACACUGCUUCAUUCUUGUUUACCACAAAAUCCUUUAUAAAAAUUUUAUGCCUUUGUUUCUAAAAGUUUUCCUCAAAUCCUCGGUUUGAGUUCAGUUACGCCCGAAGGUGCACCCGAAUCCCUCAAACCAAGGCUCUGAUACCAACUUGUAACAAUGGAAAUUUUUAAAACAAAUUUUUCAUUUCUUAAAAAUAUAUUUCCAUCCAAAUAAGUCAUAAAGAUCCAAUAUAUCAUGUCAUAAUACAAAUCAUAUAAGUCCCAAGAUCAUAAAUCCUCCAUCAGUGUGUACAGAUCACGUUGGCGCCUUCCCACGGUCCUCGCUGGUACCUAAAACACAUAUCACAACAAUUGUAAGCAUAAAUGCUUAGUGAGUUCCCCAAAAUACAACCUACACACAUACGCCUUUCCAGACCCUGACCUUCCGGUCCAUGUGUCUCAGGGGACUUCCAUCCCGACUAGGUAAACCUUCCGGUCCUACCCACGCCAACCUUACGGUCCACAUUACAACGCCUUCCGGCCCAUAACAUAUUCGCCUUCCGGCCCAUAACAUAUUCGCCAUCCGGCCCAUAACAUAAUGCCUUCCGGCCCAUAUCAAGCAUAUCAUACAUGGCACAUAUAACGAUUAACUUAUCACACACAACACAUAUAUCUCAUACCAUAUCCGACCUUCCGGUCACACAGUCAAACCCUUCCGGGUAUAGUAUAGUGAGAAGACUCACCUCGUGGAAAGUCUAAGAUCUCGUGUCCUCGCUAACACCGACCCCGAACGACGGCUCAACCUCGCCUAAACAUAAAAAUAUCAUUUAUUACACAAGGACUUCCACCACUUAGAACUUUACUCCUUAUCAUCAUUCCUCAGAGGGUAAAAGACCAUUUUACCCUUCCUUGACCUAAAGUCCUCAAGUUGACCAAAACCCUAAAAGUCAACAAAAGUCAAACCCAGAGAGUACGCGGGGCGUACUCUAGAUGUACGCGGGGCAUACGUCGCCAACCCUUCCCUUAUCGGGGUCUCCACCCAGUACGCUGCGCGUACUGGAAGUUACGCCCAGCGUAACCCCCAGAAUCAGCCACUCUCCAUUUCUGUUCUUAAUCGGUUAAGCCAUUACUUCCACUUCUAGAUCCGACUAUUCUAGUAUGUCUAAACCCAUAAAGUCGAGACCUUUAAGCCUUGGCACGACUGUAAAGGCUCCAACAUCACAUAACAACCCUUUAUUCAAACUCAAGGACCUAGAUCUCAUGCAUGGUGCAAACCCCACGUCCAAGAUGCCAUUUUUAUGAGUCUACAACCCCAAUAGAUCAGAAAUAUGAAGUAUCUAAGCUUAUGGAGGCCAUUUGCACAAAAGUCUCCACCUUUGGGACUUAAACCCUAGAAAA